rnacentral:rRNA from 1 species
GACGAACGCUGGCGGCGUGCUUAACACAUGCAAGUCGAACGGAAAGGCCUCGUUCUUGGGGUACUCGAGUGUGGAACGCGGGAGUAACACGUGAGUAUCCUGCCCUUGACUUUUUGAUAACUUCAGGAAACUGGGGCGAAUACCGCAUAUGAGCUCCUGCUGCAUGUGGGGGGUGGGAAAGUUUCGGCGGGUGUGGCGGGACUCUGGGGGUAUCAGCUUGUUUGGGGGGGGUUGGCUUACCAAGUCAUUGACGGGGAUCCGGCCGAUGAGGGGGACCGGCCACAUUGGGACUGAGAUACGGCGCAGAGGCCUACGGGAGGCAACAGUGGGGAAGAGUGCACAAUGGGCGGAAGCCGGAUGCAGCAACGCCGCGGGGGGGAUGACGGCCUUCGGGUUGGAAACCGAUUUCGCCUGGGACGAAGCGUGAGUGACGGUAAUGGGAGAAGAAGCACCGGCUAACUACGUG